UCCGUAUUCUUUCACUGCCCAUUCUAGCCACUGGCGGACGUGGUCUGUACUCCAUAAUGUCGGAUCUGCAAGGACAGAUCAAAUACACAAGCCCUCUGUAGACUGUAAAUGCUCGGUAAACACCAUUGAUAGAUUGAUCGCUAAAGCAGCCUGAGGAGAAAGCAGCUCACUUUGAAGGUGGCUCAUCACAACACAGCUGCCAUAGUUCAUCCCGACGCUGUCCGGGCUGUGGACCAUCUUCCCUCCCUUGGCCACGCUGCAGUCAUCGGGGGAGUUCCUGAG